CCAUGCAAGUCGAGCGGUAGAGAGGUGCUUGCACCUCUUGAGAGCGGCGGACGGGUGAGUAAUGCCUAGGAAUCUGCCUGGUAGUGGGGGAUAACGCUCGGAAACGGACGCUAAUACCGCAUACGUCCUACGGGAGAAAGCAGGGGACCUUCGGGCCUUGCGCUAUCAAAUGAGCCUAGGUCGGAUUAGCUAGUUGGUGAGGUAAUGGCU
rnacentral:rRNA from 1 species